rnacentral:rRNA from 1 species
GACGAACGCUGGCGGCGUGCUUAACACAUGCAAGUCGAACGGAAAGGCCCUGCUUUUGUGGGGUGCUCGAGUGGCGAACGGGUGAGUAACACGUGAGUAACCUGCCCUUGACUUUGGGAUAACUUCAGGAAACUGGGGCUAAUACCGGAUAGGAGCUCCUGCUGCAUGGUGGGGGUUGGAAAGUUUCGGCGGGUGGGGAUGGACUGGCGGCUUAUCAGCUUGUUGGUGGGGUAGUGGCUUACCAAGGCUUUGACGGGUAGCCGGCCUGAGAGGGUGACCGGCCACAUUGGGACUGAGAUACGGCCCAGACUCCUACGGGAGGCAGCAGUGGGGAAUAUUGCCCAAUGGGAGGAAGCCUGAUGCAGCAACGCCGCGUGCGGGAUGACGGCCUUCGGGUUGUAAACCGCUUUCGCCUGUGACGAAGCGUGAGUGACGGUAAUGGGUAAAGAAGCACCGGCUAACUACGUG